AUAUUUAUAUAUGUUGCUUGACCUGUUUAAUCCAGAUUCGCUCCACGUAGAGCAUAUAAAAAACCACUUUCUACUCUGAGUUUGUCCAUUCGACCCUUAGUGGAUUUUGGGCCGUGACGGGUUGGUGAUUAAAAAUACAACAACAACAACCCAGUGAGAUCCCACAUGUGGGGUCUGGGGAAGGUAGUGUGUACGCAGACCUUACCCCUACUCCGAAGGAGUAGAGAGGCUGUUUCCGGUAGACCCUCGACACAAGAAGAAAAGGGACAAUAUAUCAGUAGCAAAGGAAUCCUAACAGCUAACACCAGCAACGAAUAACCAGAAAAUAAAGAGCAAAGUAUUAAUACUAAGCAUCAACAAAGGCAUAAUUCUACAUACGCAAGGGAAUAAUAUGUACAUACAGGGCCGCUAAACAUACUAUAGCCUAACUUUCGACCCUAAAGAAGUAUUAAGAACAUAACUGGAGCCCCUAACAGCCUAAAACAAGACACUAUCACACUAGCCUCCGGUCUCCUAACCUACAACCCUAGUGCUCGACCUCCACAACUUCCUAUCAAGGUUGGUGAGUAAAAAUAUUUUCUAGAAAUAUAUGUUGAAGAUUAAUAAUGAAACUAAAAUAUGAGAUACUGUGUUGAUAAACUUUUGAAUAAUAAAGAUUAAUACUAAUAAUGUAUAAGUGUUAGGUGGAGUAAGUAAUAUAUUGAAGGUGUGCGUACAAGCUGGUCUGAAUAUCACCGUUUAUUUUAUAAAAUAGAAAGGGAUCCAAUACAGGUGUGUUUGAUCUGAAUCAUAUAUUUAAUAAUUAGAAAACUGAAAACAACAAGUCAAUUCACCGCGCACGUUGCUUACGAUCUUUAUCUUUCUAUUUAUUUAAUAGUAGUUAUUUUAUGUAACUAUUCUACUAAAAUAAAGCCUUGCCCUCCUUAGUACUAUAUGUAUCAUGUGCUGUCAAAAAUAUACACAGAUGUAGCGUAAUUACUGAAGGCCUAACUUUUGUACGCUAAUGUUAAAUGUAGAGUGUUCUCAUGCUCCUAUUAUUGACUUGCAUAGAGUGAAAAAUUAAAAGCAACAAGAAGAGAAAACGUGUUUAUCUUAUUUCAUGAAACUGAAGAUUGAAAAAUAUAGAUGUAUACUAAUAACUAAAGACCUAACUUUUGUGGACUUUCUUGGUCUACGAUAACUACUUUUAUCAAUUAAUGUUAAGUGCAGUUUGUUCUCAUAUAGCAUGCUCCUACUAUUCUCUUGCAUUGCAUAGUGUGAAAAAAGAAACGAGGAUAGAUUUACAAACAAAAGAGGUUUGUUAUAUAAGAAUCCUUAGUAAAAAGGAAAGCCGCAAUACAAGGCAUCCCGCGUUCAUACAGGGGUCGGAGGAAGGGUCGUAUUCCAAGAGUUUGUGUGAUGUAACAGCCUACCCUAGUGGUUAUAAGAUCUACUUGGUGUCGAUCUAUAACAGUCCCAUUUGUUCCGAUACUUUUUGGAUGCUAUAAUGAAGUGAUGUUAUAGAAAACAUAUAUAACAUAACAUGAAAAAUUGAUUUCAAACAAAACUUGGCUAUUAUAGUGAAGUGUUGUUAUAAAGGAUGUCUCUUAUAAAAAGGGAUGACUAGAGGUGAAGCAAGGAUUUGAAGCUUAUGAUGAGUUCGGGGUUCCAAUCCUUUUAAGUUGUUGGAAUCUGAAUUAAUAAUUUGUAUAUAUUCAAUGGAUUUUUUAAGAUAAGUACAUGGAUUGGACCAAAGCGACUGGGUUUGACCAAACCCGUACUCGAUGGGCUAGCUCCGCCCCUGGGGAUGACUGCACAUAAAAUAUCUAGUUUGACGGAGAGACCAUGGGUUAACAUGUCCCAUAAACUACCCAAUAAAUAUUCCCUUAUAUUCUAACCCCAAAACCUCUCUGGUUUAAACACUAGAGGGUCCACCCAAAUGGUAGGAUCUCGACGGGUUGCCCAUACGUCGACUAGUUGUAACGACCCAGCCGGUCGUUUUGAGUAUUUCUAUUCCAUUUAGCUAUUUGAAGUCUUGAUCAGUAUCAUAUGAUGUAUUAUGACUUGUGUAAAUCGUCGAUUUGGUUUUUAGGUUAUUCGGGAUUGAUUUGGAAGAAUGAUUCUCAACUAGGAAGCUUUAAGUUGGAAAGGUUGACCAAGUUUCGGAUAUGUUUGGGUUGUUGCGCUCGUUUAUUAUGUUUCGACGACGUUUCUUCAAGCAUAAAUAGUACUACAUUAAGAAAAUGAGCUACAAUUUCUAUUUUGAUUGAAACAUUCGAUCUGUAUCGUAAUUUUAGAACUAUAGCAAUUGGAAUCAUCAAGUUUUGACAUCGUAUUUAAAAAUCUUCAAUAUUUUCAAAUACUGAAACCAACAUAUCUCCUUUAUAAUAAGGUCAAAUGGAGUGAUUCAAAAGUCUAACUUAACUGAAAUUUCACAAGGAAUCCAUUGGAGGCAUAUUCGGACUCGUUUGGCACAAGAAAUGAGGCAGUACAGCUGGGCAGAAAUAUUUAAUAUUAAGAGUUUGUUUAUUUGGUCAUAUUUUGAGUUGGCGAGCUCGGAUUUGGGCAAUUUUGGAGGCGAUUUUCAUCACAUACAUUGGGAUAAGUGUUCUACAUCUCCCGCUUGGUCUCCCAGGCAGCUUCCUCCACGGGCCGACCUCUCGACUGCACUUUCAUUGAAGCUAUAUCCUUUGAUCUCAACUUUCGAACCUGACGCUCCCAAAUAGCCACUGGCUCCACAUCAUAAGUUAAAUCUCCCUCUAACCAAACCGUGCUGAAAUUCAAAACAUGAGACGGAUCGCCAAUAUACUUCCGGAUCAUAGAAACAUGAAAUACCAGAUGCACACUCGACAAGCUAGGUGGAAAUGCAAGCCCAUAAUCCACCUCUCGCCCUCCGUACCACUGAAAGUCGGAGGCUAAAUUCUACCAAACCUCUCCAAUCGAUGCUGCUCGUCGUCAGGCAUAACCGGUACAACAUAAUCCUAGGCUGGUGCAACCGGCUGGGCUGGAGGUGCCCCCAGACGAAAUCCGACAGCCAAUUGCUGGCUCUGAAUAACCAGCCCAGCAAUAAGCUCAAUUCUUCCAUAACAUAAGGGGGUGGGCUUGCUAUGUUCUAUUUGGGUUAUAUUUCAUGAAUCCAUUUUCAUUUUCGGCAUUUGAUUUAUGAUUUCAAAGUGAAAUAUGGGGUUUUUUGUCUAAAAUUUCAUAAAGUGAAUUUUUAAGUUUUGAACAUCGAUUCGGAGUUGGAUUUUAGUAAAACUAGUAUGGUUGGAUUCACAAUUGAAUGGAUUAUUGGAUUUUCUGAGUUUCGUCGGGUUCCAAGGUGCGAGCCCGAGUUUGGCUUUUUGGUUGAUUUUGGGCUUUUGAUUAAAGAUUCCAUCUUUAUCGAUUGAGUUUGUUUCCUUUAGCAUUAUUUGAUGUUCUUGAGGUUAUUUUGUAUUGUUUUGAGCCAUUCGAAGGUCAGUACGUAUUGGAUGGCAUUUCUAGAGUAUUGUUUGGCUUACUGGAUAUUGAAUUCGGCUUGGUCGAGGUAAAUAACACUUCUAAACUUGGUGCCGAGGGUGUGAAUCCUUGAACAUACAUGUUAUGUGUUUGGUGUUGAGGUGACACACAUGCUAGGUGACAGGCGUGUGGGCGUGCAUUGUGUAAAUUGUGACUCGGUUGAUUCUAUGAUACUGUGUAGUUACCUAAUCUUGUUUCUAUCUAUGAAAUUUCUACGUGUUAGAUAAAUGGAGUUGCGAAUCAUGUUAGAAAUCAUGCUUAGUCUAUAUGCUUAUUCUGUUGGGAUCCACUGAGGCUGUUUUUUUUGAGUUAUUUUCUUAAAUUGCAAUUACAUAUGUAGUCAUAUUCAUUCAUUUACUUAUCAUAUCUCAGUCCCUAUUUUCACUGUUGUCACAUUAUAUAAUCAUUGUUUGGGCUGAUUGACAUAAGAUUUGUGAGCUCGAGAGACUGGAGAGAUUGAUGACUAAGUUAAGGCCUAGGGGCUGGGUUGUGGCUAAGAUUCAUGAUGGGAUUGGGCUAUAUGUCGUAGUAGGCCUUAUGUCUAUAUGUGGAUCGGGUUAUAUGUCGCAAUAGGUUGUAUGGCUAUAUGUGGAUCGGGUUGCACACCGCAACAUGCCUUAAGGCUAUAUAUGGAUCGGGUUGCAAGUUGCAACAUGUCGUAUGGCUAUAUAUUGAUCGGGUUGCAUGUCGUAGUAGGCACCGUACUGUGCUGAGAGACUAAGUGUGCUGAGUGACUGAGCGUGAUGAGUGAGAGUGUGAGACAAUGAGAUUGAGUACUCUUAGAGCAUGAGUACAUGAGUUCAUCUAUGUGAUGCAUUGCAUUUGUCAUGUAUACUUGACAUACAUUCAUAGAGAUACAUUCCCUCAUGUUACACAAUUUUGUGACAUUUAUGACUUCACAUGCACAUUAACGUGUAGGCAUAGAGACGUACUUCCUCAUGCUAUCUGAGAUUGAAAUGUCUCAUCUGUUGUUGAAAGUCUUUGGGAAAAAUCAUAGAUUCUUGACUUACUCAUAUUUUGUUGAUUUUGGUGAAAGAUUUGAGUUUUACUGUUAUACUUUAAAAGCAUGCCUAUUUUUUCGUAACUGUGAACGAGCUGAGCAUCAUACCUUUGAGUUGAUUCUUGUACUACUUUGAUGUUGGCUAUGUGUGUUAGACUUUGACCGUUGUCCAAGCUCGUCACUUCUUUCAACCUAAUGUUAGAUUUGUCACUUAUUGAGUACAUGAGAUCGGUUGUACUCAUACUAGACUUCUGCACCUUGCGUGCAGAGUUUGGAUACUGAUGUUGUUGUGUAUAGUGGGAACUAGAAUUGAAGAUGUACCUAUGUUCUGGUCAUAGCUGCCUCUUGUUCUUCGUAGCUUUAGAAUUUUUAAUUUGUUCAUGUAUAUUUCAAACAGAUGAUGUAUUUAUUUCAUAUCAGCUUUAUAAACUCUAAAUCUUAUGAGCCCACGAUUUGUACUACCAGACUUUGGAAUUUUUGUAUAAAAGUUCAGUUGUAUUAUCAUUACUUCUCUUAGUAAAUCUCAUUUGAAUUGGAUUUUGUUAAACUGGCUUACCUAGAGGGUUGGGUUAGGUGCCAUCACGACUAGUCAGAUUUUGGGUCAUGAUAAGUUUAUAUCGGAGUCUAGGUUCAUAGGUUCUACGAGUCAUGAGCAAGUGUCUAGUAGAGUCUUGUGAUUGGUAUGAUGACGUCUCGAGAGGCUACUUGGCAUUUAAGAUAAACUUCCCAUCUUUUUUUCCUUAUCGUGCGACAAUAAUUCAGCUUGAAGCAUAUCUCUUUGAAUUCCUUCUAUUCACUUAUAUGAGCAUGUGAGCGCUCGGUAUCAAUUGUACAUCGACGACUUGUGGAUUCCAUGGAUGAGGUGCAAGAUCUGUUUAUUGUGUGCUGAGGAUGGGCCAGUCUGGAAGACUUGAGGCCGAGUUUUGACUGUAGCUUGAGCACGGUGAUUUCGGUUGUGUCAGCAUAUGAUUUUGGAGUUAUAUAUUCAGUAGUUUCUCUAUGGAUGGAAUUUGUGACUCAAUAACUAGUUAGAUGACUAUAUGAUGAGUAGGAUGUGAAUGCAGGAUGUGUUUAGAUGGUUUGAAUAUGACGGGACGAUUUUGCUUGAGAUGUGAAAAGGACUAUUGGAUGCUAGAUUUAUGUGGAUGUGUCAUAUAGUCUUGAGUUAUGAAGGUUUUUGAGAGAUUAUUUUGUGUUAUUUCAUUUGUGGAAGGAAGUAUAUUUUCAUGUCUUAUUGAUGAGUUCAGACUCAGGAACAUUAAGUGAUUGCAUAGUAUUUAUGGAUGUAAAAGGGUAUAAAGAGAUGUCAGUUUGAGGCUAAGCAGGUGGGUUAUCACAUGCUGGGUAAUCUACGGAUGUGUGAUCCUUAUGAUGUUGUGUGGAGGAUUUCUUUUCUUUCAGUAGGUAUAGGUGUUGCGAUUUGUGUUUUGAUUGGUUGAUAAAGUUGACCUGUCUGUCAUGAGGAUGAAUGCAAGCUUAACAAAUGAUUUGAGGUACUAUAUGGUUUGUGUUAUAUGAGUUUAUGAAGGAUUUAUUUGAAUCUCACUGCGAUAUUAUGGCAGUAGUAGAGUAUGGGCAUUGUCAAUUAUCGAGUGUUUUGAUCUAUGGCAUUGAGCCAAGUGGGGGAGUCUGCUAUCGACGAUUUGGUUGUAUGGUUACAUGUUGUGUUGGUUUCGAUCUGAGGCAUGCUUACGUAUCGGUUAUGACUUACAGAGGCUAGUUCUGAGAAUGACUUAAGUAAGAAAAUUUCUGGAUGCAUGGUAUAUUACACAUUAUGGAUAUAUUAAAAUCAAUGAUUGAGUUGAUUUGUUAUUCGUGACGGAUGUAGUGAACAUGGAGUAGAAAUUUACUCGGUUGCGUUAAAGCGCGGUUACUUCUUUGGAUGGUACCGUGCUAAUGGGGUGUAUGUUGUUCGGCCCAUUUGGGCAGUGUAGUUGAGAUUUGAGUAGAGUGGAUGACUGUCGAGAAGGUUCUAAUGGAUUCAAGAUUUAUAUGUAGCAAUUAAUAAUUUUUUGGAUUUGUAUAUGGCUAGGAUCUGAGAUUUACAUUGUAUGGUGUCGAGACUCGAUGUAGUUCUACAUCAUUAUGGAUUCUAUAUUUCAGUAUUAGGAAGGUGAAGUUAACGGCUUUAAAUUCACAGAAGGUCUCUUCAGAGUGGGUGUCUCGAUUGUAGUACUUUUGGGGUGACUAAGAGGGAAUACAAUGGCUUAUUGGCCUUAGGUGGAGUGGUUUUAAGCUAGUAUCCCUUGUGGUGAGUUGUAGAUAAGGAUCAUGGUGUUCUGGAAAGGAGAAGUGUCAACUUGAGGGUAAUUCGAAAGGAACUCGGAGAAAUAGGACAUCUUGGUAGUAAGUUCGAUCAGCACAGUAAUGGAUAUAAUCGGUUCGUUGGGUACUUGUGAUGUGGUGAGUCUCUACAUGUGUUUUAUGGCAAUACUCCUAAAUUUGGCGAUUUGCGUGACUUGGUUGAGUUAGAGAGAUUCAGUUCUGAUAGCUUGGUUAUGUGCAAAUGUGUUUCGAAGAUUUCUCGAUGGUUUCUACCAUGGUUUGAGGUGGAUAUUUCCUACCGAUGUGAGAAGCACAUUUCGUAUUGUGUUUUUCUACUGGAUGAGAUCAAAUAAAAGGUUCCUGGCUAAUUGACCAUGUAGUUUCUUGUGACUCAGGGUUGAUAAUGAGGUUCUCGUAUUUUCAUAUGAUGGCAUGAUAGAUGCGGUGUGUUGUGUGGGAUUAAGAUUUGUAUGUGCAAGGUCACAGUUCAGUUUUGAAGGGAAGGUCAUGAAAUCUUAGACAACAUGAACGAUUUCCGAUGUUUCGAUGAAUGCUAUAACUACUUGGUAAUGCUUGAGAAGGGUGCGCAUUUCAGCAAGUGCAUUGUGUUUUGACUUACAGAUGUUUCAUUGGUAUUGUGGUACUCGCCUGGUUGAUGACUGCUAAUGUUUAGAUUUUGCUAUAUGGCACAAAAGAAUUAUAAAAGUAUUCCUCGUGGGAUGAUUGUGUAUGAGAGUUGUGUUAGACAUUCGGGCAGUAAAGUUGGGAUCAAAUAUGGUGAUUCGUGUGUUCUAUGAAUUUGGAGAUUGGAAUUCUUAAAAGCAGAUUGUUUCGUGGUUGUAGACUGUGAAGAUGUGGCCAAAGUUAUCCAGAUGGUGGUACAUGUUAUAGUUAAAACCUUGUGGAUUGUUGGAGGGCUAUUUAUCAAUUAGGGGAUGACCAGAGUUGAUUUAGGACCCGUUAGUAGGCCCAAGUGGGAUGUGCAAUCUACAUCUGGUCGGAUUUGUUGACUCAGAACUAUUAGUGUUGAGGAGUGAGUCAUUCGGUUAGAGUUAAGCUUGUUCGCGUUCUUAUAUGUUCUAUGUGUUACUCUCCUAUGACGAGGGGUUGGGAUUUGUUGGUUAUAUGCACACAUGGUAUGGUUCUAUUUGGGUCUUAUAGCGGAAUUUGAGCGAAAUGGUUAUUGGGUUGUGGAAUGGUUGAUUGUGCCUUGGUUAUGGCCUUUUCCAGUUGUGGUAUAUUGUGUUGCUUGCUUCUUCAUGGUUAUGCCCAUGAACUUUGUGUACUUGACAUCGAAUUGUUCGUGGUUGUUGAUUUUGAGCAUUGUGGCUUGAGGUAUUUCAUAUGGACCGAUAUUUGGAUAGUGUCACACAUUACAGCAAAGUUAUGUUGGGAUAUGAUCCUUUGUGUUAGAUUCGUAUAUCUUGGUUCUACUAUGUAAGAUGGGCUCAAAGCAUUACGGUGUGGUGGUACUUGUCGAGCUUCCGGGACGGUUUUCUCAUUUGAGUUAUUUUUCAUUUUUGGGUGCAUUGAUUUAUUGCGUAUUAGUGCACGGAUUGCACGGUUUGUGGCUCUAGGUUGUAUUGAUAUUACAUGUCAAUAGAAUGAUUGUGUUUUACGAGAUGAGUACUAUCGGAUUUGAUUGCAGUAUAUAUGGAGGAAUAAUAUCAGAAGUCGACUUAGAAAUUGGCUUUGGUUCUAAUUGGGCGAGAGAGGGCUCCAUGACUUGUUGAUUUGAUAAGUGAUUAUGAAUUUCUGCAUAUUUCUUUCAUAAUCGGAAAUGUACGAAGGUUUUAGAAUAAAGUUUUGUUUGAUAUGAAGUUUAUUACCGGUACCGGGUUUGUUUUUGAGCAGCUACUAUGAUCAGAACUUUAUUGCUACAAGUAUACGAGUUGUAUGGUAUAUCAUGUGAUUAUAUCUUGGGUUAUGAUUAUGGAUUUAUACAGCUUAUUUAGACUUAUAUAGUGUGUAGAUGCAAGAUUCAGGUCUUGUAAGGAAUUUUGAUGCUGGAAAUUGAGUUCUAAGGCUUACGGACUAAGGUUAAAGUAAUGACCUUCAGUUAGGAUGUGUUGUCAGGCUUACAUGGAUUGGGGUAACAUGAGAUCACCCCCGAGUAUGUGCAUGAUAAGGUUGCACAAUGAUUUGACGGCUUAGGAAUAAUUCUUAGCAUGUUCAAAGACGAAUGUAUGUUUAAGUGGGGACAAUGUAACGACCAAGCCGGUCGUUUUGAGCAUUUGCAUUUUGUUCAGCUAUUUGAAAUCUUGAGUAACAUCGUGUGAUGUUUUAUGACUUGUGUGAAUCAUCUGUUUUGGUUUUUAGGUUAUUCAGGAUUGAUUUGGAAGGAUGAUUCUCAAUUAGGAAGUUUUAAGUUGGAAGGAUUGACCAAGUUUGACUUUUUAGUACUUGACCUCGGAUCGGGAUGGUGAUUAUGGACUUGGCUCUAUGCCCGGAUUUGCAUUUGGAUAUUUCUAGAAGGUAUCGGCACUAUUUAGUGAAAGUUAGAAAUUUGAAGAUUUGCAAUGUUCAUAAGUUUUACCGGGAGUUGACUUUGAUGAUAUCGCGUUCAUAUUAUUGUUUUUAGAAUUGGAAUAACGUCGUUAUGUCAUUUGGGACUUGUGUGCAAAAUUUGAGUUCAUUAAGUUCGAUUUGAGGUAUAAUCUGUGGUUUUGAUGUUGUUAUGCAUUAUUUAAGGCUUAGAGUAAGUCCGUGUUAUGUUAUGCUGCUAGUUGGUAUGUUCGGACGGGGUCCCAAGGGGCUCGGGUGAGUUUUAGAUAGGUUUGGGUUGUGUUGCGCUCAUUUUUUAUGCUUCGAUGUCGUUUCGUCAAGCAUAAUUGGUACCACAUUAAGAAAAUGAGCUCCAAUUUCUGUUUUGAUUGAAACAUUAUAUCCGUAUCGUAAUUUUGGAACCAUAAAAACUGGAAUCAUCAAGUAUCAAUAUCGUAUGAGGAAUUUAUGGUCAUUUUACUAAGAAUUGGGUUGCUAAAUUGUUUUCAAAUUAAUUACAAAAUUAUCACAUAAUUCAUAUUUAAAAUUUUGCACUAUCUUCAAAUAUUGAAACCAACAUAUCUUGUCACAAUCCGAAAUUUUCACCUUCCGGACCGUGAUGUCGCCGAACAUUUCAUUUGCUAGGCAAGCCAACGUUAGAAUAAGCUAAAUCAUUUUUAAACAAAUCAAAUUAAAUGGAUGUCAAUUACUGAAAUAAAGUGCGGAAGACCAUAACAAUCGAAUCGUCCAAGUACAACCCAGAAUCUGGUGUCACACGUGCAUAAGCUACUAGAAUAAUACAAAUAAAGGUCUGAAUAGAAUUCAAGCUGUUUGGAAGAAAUAUAGAGCUAAGAUAAAGUAGAAGGGGACUUCGGAAGUACAGAUGUCGUGCAGUUAUACCUCAACUCUCCUCUAGGUAGCUGAAUCCGAGAAAGUCUAUGGUACGCCUCUGGGACCAACUCUAAAAUCUCCACAUGAAGUGCAGAGUGUAGUAUGAGUACAACCGACCUCAUAUACUCCGUAAGUGACGAGCCUAACCCCGACAAAGUAUUGACGAGGUUAUGACAAGACAUAUACAUGAACAACCUGCACAAGUAUAUACAUAUAAGAAGCAAUAAAUAACAUAGUAAUUAAUAAUUUAAAAAAUUGGAAGGGAACAUAUGAAUGGUAAAGAUGUAAUAAUUCCAGCAGGAGAAGUGCCACAUAACAACCGAAUAAUUCAUCAACAAUAAAUAUAGGUAGCUAAAAUAUAAAAAUGGCACGGCACCACCCUUCAUGCUUUUAUUCUCAUCCUUCCCAUGAAAUGAUAAAUAAAUAAUAUGAAUGGCACGGCAUCCGUUUGUGCUUUAACUCUCUUUCAUGCCACAGUAUGAUGAAUAAAUAAUUUAAAUGCCACGACAUCACUCUUCGUGCUUUAACUCUCUUCCUCACUUUAUAAAUCAAUAAAUUAUAAUAAUGUGAAAAUGGCACGACAUCACCUUUCGUGCUUCAACACUCUUCCUCAAAAUGGCAAUGAUAAUAUAAAUAAUAUAAAUGGCACGGCAUCACCCUUCGUGCUUUUACGCUCUUUCUUACCAUGAAAAUAAUAAUAUAAAUUUGGAAGAGUAUUUUAAAUGCGGGGAAUUAUACUUAUCAAUUAAUUUAAUACCAGAAUACCGACCUCACCUUCCAAAAAUAUUCAACAAUAAUUAAUUUAGCAAUAAUUUUAUAAAUAAUGAUCAAAUGAAUAAUAAUAAACUUAAGCAGGAAUAUCUAGUUAAAUAAGCAAUUAUUCACAAAGAACAAAUUCCACUCGCAUGCUUUGAUUCAACCACAAUGCAUAAGUACUCGUCACUUCAAAUAUAUGUUGUACCCGCACAUUAAAUCACGUAGCAAAUAGACAAACUAAUCCUAUUCCCUCAAGUCAAGGUUAACCACGACACUUACCUUGCUUCGCAACCAAAUUCAAGAUUCUAAUGAACCUUUGCCCAUGACACUUACCGCGCUUCGCAGCCAAAUUCAAGAUUCCAAUAAACCUUUGCCGCGCGAAUUUUGUACGAAUGCCUCGAAUCUAGGCACAAUCAAUUCGAUACAGUCAACACAAAUUAUAGAAAUCAACUCCAUAUGAAAAUACUAAAUUUUCCAAUUAAAAUCCGAAAUUCGACUAAACAAUCGACAGUGGGGCCCACGUCUCGACACCCGACAAAAGUUAUGAAAUAUGAACGCCCAUUGAACCACGAGUCUAGCCAUACAAAUUUUACCACAUUCCGACAUCAACUCCGCCUCCAAAUCCUCAAAAUCAUAUUUUCAAAUUCCUAGGCCCAAAUUUUCGAAUUACAUCUAGUCAGAAUAAUCAAUGAUGUUUCAAUAUUAUUGACUAACAAUGAUCACAAGUGACUUACCUUAAAAAUCCCCAUGAAAUCUCGCUCAAAAAUCGCCCAACCCAUGCUUGAAAUGUCUAAAAAUGAGAAAAAUCUCAGACUCUUUGAUUAAUACAUUACCCAGGGAUUUUCACAGCUACGAUGCACCUGACCGAAUCUGCGGUCUCGUAGAUGCGAGGAUGGUUGUCGCUUCUGCGGGCUGGCUUACUUCUGUAGCAAGAGUCCGCUUCUGCGGACUUGCUUCUACGAAGAAGUUGUCCGCUUCUGCAACGAGGCCAGGCUUCUCCCUUUCCGCUUAUGCGGUCAACAAGCCGCCCAGCUCUUCACCCUGGCCGCUUCUGCGAUGGCCCUUGCGCACCUGCGGUGUCGCACCCGCGAACCAUACGGAAUCCACCUGAGGCCCUCGGGACCUCAACCAAAUAUACCAACAAGUCAUAAAAGCUCAUACGAACUUAGUCGGGGCCUCAAAUCACAUCAACAACGCUAAAAACACGAAUCACACCCCAAUUCAAGCUUAAUGAAAACUAAUAAAUUUCAAUUUCAACAUUUGAUGCCGAAUCAUAUCAAAUCAAGUCUGAUUGACCUCAAAUUUGCAUACAAGUCAUAAAUGACAUAGCAGACCUAUUCAAAUUUCCUGAAUCGACUUUCGACCCCGAUAUCAAAAAAAUAAUUUGUGGUCAAACUUUGAAAUCUUUAAGCUUUCAAACUUAAAAUUUUUAACAAUUGGCGAUAACCCAAGCUAGGGACUUCCAAAUCAACAAGAUUGGGAGCCUAAAGCCAAAUUUUAGAGAGAGUCCCUAAGUAAGAAUAUCAAUGAAAAAUUUUCAAUGAAAAAGUAUAAAAUAAAGGUAGAAUAAUAAAAUCGGCUCAAAAAUUUGACAAGUUGAUAUACAACAACAACAUACUCAGUGGAAAUCCACAAAGUGGGAUCUGAGAAGGUAGAGUGUACGCAGACCUUACCUCUACUUUGAAAGGUUGAGAGGUUAUUUUUGAAAGACCCUCAGAUCAAGAGAAAGCAUGAAAAAAAAGGUCAGAUAAGGACAAUCAAUUCAAUGUCACUAUGAAAAUGAAAAUAAUGAAAGCGAAUAAGUCAUGAUAAAGUACUCUAAAAAGGAGCAGCAGUUAUCACAGAUAAAUAAGAUAAUUAAAGUACAAGAAAUAAUAGAUAGUAACAGAAAUCAAAGGGCAAGAAACUAUAGAGCAAGAUAAACUGAUAUAUAAGUUGUCGAUUGAGAGACUUUUCAAUAUUGAGAACAAGACUAGUAAAAGAGAGAAUGAAAAAGGUAAAUAUAUAAACAAUAAUAUGGGCCCGUAUUAGCUAUUAGGAUAUAAAUGAGGCAAAAAAAAUAGCUACCCUAACCAUGUAAUUAGGAAACAAUUCAUUAAAAAUUAUUCAAUUCUCUAAUUAUUACAACGAUCCUCACAUUAAAGUUAUUGCACAUUCUCUAAUUUUUUUUUUUAAAUUUAGAUGUACACAUAUUUUUUUAAUAAUACUUAUACAAUACAUUUUUAAGAAAAAAUAGGGCCCCAAAAAGUUGGGGCCCAAGCGAUUGCUUUACUAGGCUUAUAGCCACCCAUGCCAUUCCAAUGUGCUUGUAUCAUUACCGGCACCAAGUAGGUCCUGUAACAUUUUUAAUUCUCUCAAAUAUGUUGAAACCCAAUGAAUAAUGAUACUCCAAUCCAAACUCAUGAUUGGACCAUAGAUUUUUGCAAGAUUUGCUAGCGAUAUAUGAGGUUUUGCACCUAAUAAGUGAAGGUUUCCAAUAAUUGGCCAUGGUUUUGGCCAUGGUGAAAGUUUAAUUUUAUGCUGCCUUUUCUGAGUAAAUUGUGGCUAGAAUAUAAAGAAAACUCAAGGCAAAAAUUGAUCCAAACAUAAGUGUAUAGUAAUCCAUUAUGCCCCUCUCCCACUCUUUCUUCAACUUUGAAAAAUGAAAAGAUGCUUUAAUUUCCUCUUUUGUCAGUAAUAAAGUACAGGUGUCCUAGGUGUGUUUGAUUUGGAUCGUGCAUUUAAUAAUCAGGAAAUUGAAAAUGGACAAGUCAAUUUUACAAUUAAAGGUAAAAUGAGAAAAUUAUAAUUUAUUUUGUCUUGAACUUCUAAAAUGAUAAAUAAGUUGAGAUAAUUAUUUUUAGAAAAUAUGACAGAUAAUAUGAAAAGUAGGAAGUAGUUUUCAGAGGCGGAUGUAGUGAAUAACUAACGGGUUCAACUAAACCAAUAACUUUCAUCGGGGUAAAAAUUUAUAUGUAAAAAUUGAUUAAAAUUACAAAAAUGGUAUAUAUGAAUCCAUAACUUUAAAAAUAUAGUAGGUUCAAUGCUAAAAUCCUAAAAAUUGAAUCCAUAGGAUUUAAAUUCUGGAUCUGCCUCUGAUAGUAUUAAAUAAUAUAUACCCCACCCUUUUGGUAACAAGAAAAAUUAAUUAAAAACAACUAGGAACUACAGUAUUAUAUAGUUUUAUCUUUCUAGGGAUAAUAUUUCCCGUUAAAUAAUGCCUUGCUCCCACGGGCAGAUCUAGAGGAAUGAAGUGGGUUCGGAUGAAGUCUUUUUUAUGGAAGAAUCACACUCUAUAUGUAGUGAUUUGACUUGAAAAUUCUUGCACAGUUAAGAGAGUUGUAAGAUUCAUAAAAAGGAAAAAAAAAUAUCGACUUAUACUGAAGUAAUCACUAAUGAUUUGAACUCAAUUAUAAAUUUACAUGCCCGAAGAUUAUAGGGCGCGAAUUUGUGAAAGUAACCUCGAGUUACCUAAAAAAGGCAGGAACUUAUUAGUAAAGACGGACUAAUGUGGUAAAGAGAGGGUCAUCGGCACCCGAAAAGUUAGGCAAAAUUUGUAUAUAUGUAUGUAUAUAUUUUUUAAAAAUACUGAUAUAUAGUGGUCGCAAAAUGGUUAGAAGAAAAUAGUUAUUCACCCAUAUUAUUCAUUAAAAAAUUGGUUGGAUAAUGAACUUUUUAAAUAAUGGGUCAAAUGUGGAUAAAAACCAUAUUAUCCAUUUAGAAAAUGAAUAACCAAUAGAUAACUAAUGAGUUUAACUUUUACAUUUGCAAAGCCUUAAAUUGGGGGUUCGUCAAGUUUAGGAGAUUAUGAAUUCUCUCAAAAGUGAUCAUAUUCAAGAAAUCAUGAAUAAUAUAAAUAUUUAUAUUAUUCGUGGAUUAACCCUUUUUAUCCGUAUUGAAUAUGAGUCGGAUCGAAUAAUUUAUCCAUUUUUUUACUACUCAUUUUCGACCCGCUUCUAUUCGACCUGACCCGCCCGUUUACCACCCCUACUAAUAUAUUAAUAGUGACAUCCUAGGUCCGCCUAUGCUUAUUAGUAUAUAUGACUUAAUUGCACACCUCUAAGAUAUGUAAACACUAGUACACUACAAUAAAUUGGACUAGAUAUUUGUUUUGAUGUGAAAUCAUUUUUGACACGGAGAAGCAACGCUUACUUUGUCUUUUUAGCUAUUUUCAUUUCCCAAGUCACAAUUGCAAUUUGUGAAACUCGUGAUUAUUUGCAAAUUUCCUCGCCUCACUCCAAUUUAUGGGCCUUGUAUGUUUGGGCUUUUAGUUUGACUCCACCCUCUCAAGUUGGAAGAGUCUUUACACAAAUAACCAGCUAGAUUUUUUGUUUACUUCUCCUAAUCGAUAUAUAUAAAUGGCGUAAUGGCUUCUUGGCCACUUAAACUUGUAAGGCUUUUGAAAGUCGAUACAUAAACUUUGGACUUUCCCAUUUGAACACUCAAACUCGUGAAACUCUUAACUAAUAAACACAUUUGACCCUUGACCCUACGCGCGUGUAUUACACAUUCACAGAUGUGUCCAUCCAGUCAGCAUAUGACCAAUGGGAAUGUUACACAUUAAGGGCGCGAAAACAAAUCCCAUAGCUGUGCUGGAAUAAAUUUAUUAAUUUCUACUUUUUCUUCUGUUUUCGUUAUUUUCUUCUUCACCAUAGCUGUGUUGGAAUAAAUUUUCCCACCCAGCCAUCAUUUUCAAUGGUGAAACUUGUGAUCUGAUCCAUUAAAAGUAACACUUCCCAAUGUCGAAAAAAUCAAAAUGGAUAAACAUCAAGAAGAAAGAAAAAAUAAUCACGAAAACCCAAUGUCAAAAUACAAGAAAAAUCACUGCAACUUCAAGAAAAAUUACUCUUCUCUUCUUCAAAACAUUUGCUAGCCUUUUGUAAAUUCAGAAACAAUGAGUAUGAUUGGACCCCAUGAAUGCAAUGAAACCUGAUGUCCUUUUUGCGCUUUUGUUUUGUUUUUCCGGCGAAAGUUACGCCGAAAAUCACAUUUGGAUCUGAUAUAUUUUGAGCUCGAUUGUUGACAGUUUUAUUCUCUGUUGAAAUUAGAAGAAGCAUACACAAGAAAAAAAAUGGUGAAAGAAAUUUAUUUUUGACUUCAUUAAUAUAGUAGAACAGUGGAGAGGAUAAAGGGUAAAAGAACAGUAAACAAAAAAUUGGACGGGAAUAGAGAAAAUGAUGAAGGAAGAGAGGUAGGUUGAAAGUUUUUUUCUUUUCUUUUUUGGUUUUCCUUAUAGUUUCUGUUUAUUUUUUUAAUUUUACAAUCUUUUUAAUAAAUAGCAACAGAUACACGCGCCAUUUGAUGUGACUUGUACGCACUAUGUCCACGUAAGAUAAGUUACCUCCACAUAAGCAUAGUCAAUGGUCAAAAGUGUUUAUUAGUUAUAGGUUUUAUAAGUUUGAGUGUUUAAAUGGGAAAGAAGAAAGUUUGUGUAUCGGUUUUCAAAAGCCGUACAAGUCUAAGUGGUCAGGAAACCAUUUCGCCUAUAUAAAUUAUAUAUUGAUUAAACAUGAUUAUAUAUAUAUAUUAUCUUAUGUCGUCUAUUUUUAGUUUAAGCGAUUGAAUGAAUAUUUAUUUAAGUUAAUUCUUCGCGCAUUGAUUAGUUAUGGUUGCACUGAUGAAGUCUUACAUAGGGCAUUAAGUUUGCUUUCAGUCCACCACUCAUAUACAACUUUCCAUUAUGGGAGAAUGUUGGAAAAUUAAUUGAAAGUUGUAAUAGGAAACCUUAAUCGUUUAAGAUUUGGUAUUUGCUAGUUUAUUUAAUUUAUAUCUAAAUAAGAUUUGUAAGUACAUGAAUUAUAUAUAUAUUAUACAUCUUCUGACUAUUUUUAGUUUAAGCGGUUGAAUUGACGACUAUUUAUGUUGAUUUUUUUUGGGCAAAAAGGUGUGAAGUGCCUCAAUGAUGCACUUUUCAAAUUAAGAAUUAUUUUGUAUUCUCGUAAAAAAUGUGGCAUACAUAAUAAAAUUAAGAAGUACUCUUAUAAUGAUGCAUCUCGUUGUAUCGAGUUUCAUAAAAAAGACAAACAAUUUUUCUCUCUUCUCGUCUCUUCUCACAGUACGCAAGUCAUAGAAAGAGGAAGAAAGUAUGCUUGUUAGCAACGUGAACGGUGAUUUACUUGUCCAUUUUCAGUUUAUUAAUUAACCCACACACACAAAAAAAAAAAAAUGUAUUGUUUGUCAGUUUUACAUGAAGUCUCAAGUCCAAAUUUCAGUAGAAGCAAAAAUGCUAGGUUAUUUAUUUUCAUCUGUUUAAGAUUUGGUGGACAGAGUUAUUCGAUAUAUGUACUGGUAGAAGUUAACUGGUACCCCGUAAAUUUAGUCUAAGUACAUGUAAGUUGACCCGAACACCACGAUUAUAUUUUUAUAGCUCCAUUAUUUUACCAUAGAGAAAAUGGACUAACCAACCAAAGUUACUUGAGCGCCAGGCAGCCAGCUUUGAUGCACUUCAAGCACACAACCAUUAUAAAUUUUCUGUAGUUUGGCUUCCUGUUUGUCCUCAAUGGCGAACGCUUCCACGAAUCUUGAACACCAACCUCCUCUCUGCUAAUAGGCUUGAUGCAAAUCAAUGUCUAAGAUCUCAAAAGGUGAAAGAAUUACUUGCUUAUUGUGCAACAUGUAGCCAAGAAGGUGAAGUUGUGGAUGUAGGUCAAGUAGCUUUCAAGAAUUCUCUAAACUUGUUGUCCAACACCCUUUUCUCUAAGGACUUGGCUGACCCCUUUUCGGAUUCAAAGGUAGAGCUAAAAACACCUAUCUGUAACACCCCGACCCUUCCUUUUGACCUUUUGGAAUCCUUAUACAAAUAGCCGGUCAGAUUCACUAUUUACUUUUUCUAAUCAGUGUAUAUGGAUUAUGCACUGAUUACACAUGAUUAUACAUGGAUUAUACGUAUGUAUGUUAUACAUCUCCGGCUAUUUUUAGUUUAAGCGAGUCAUGUGGGUGGCUAUUUAGGUUCCUGACUUUUUGUGUAUAACUAAACAGUGCAUUGAUAUGUUGUCCUAUUAUCUUGUUGUUGCUAUUGUUUGUCUAUUGAUUCCUUUUCGAUGUUCUUGAGCCAAGGGUCUAUUGAAAAAAUCCUCUCUACCUUUAUAAGAUAGAGGUAAGGUCUGUUUACACAUUACCUUCC
rnacentral:lncRNA from 1 species